UUCUCUUCUAGUUAGUGUGUG
ensembl:piRNA 21ur-6727 ncRNA